rnacentral:tRNA from 2 species
GCCAAGAUAGCUCAAUUGGUAGAGCAACGGUAUCGUAAACCGUAGGUUGUGGGUUCAAGCCCCACUCUUGGCUCCA